AUCGAACGCUGGCGGCAUGCUUUACACAUGCAAGUCGAACGGGCUUGGGGGCUUGCUCCCAAGUUAGUGGCGAACGGGUGAGUAAUACAUCGGAACGUACCGUGUAGUGGGGGAUAACGUAGCGAAAGUUACGCUAAUACCGCAUACGAUCUACGGAUGAAAGCAGGGGGACCUUCGGGCCUUGUGCUAUACGAGCGGCCGAUGUCUGAUUAGCUAGUUGGUGAGGUAAAGGCUCACCAAGGCGACGAUCAGUAGCGGGUCUGAGAGGAUGAUCCGCCACACUGGGACUGAGACACGGCCCAGACUCCUACGGGAGGCAGCAGUGGGAAUUUGGACAAAUGGGCGAAAGCCUGAUCCAGCCAUGCCGCGUGUCUGAGAAGGCCUCGGUUGUAAGGAC
rnacentral:rRNA from 1 species